rnacentral:rRNA from 1 species
AGUGAACGCUGGCGGUAGGCCUAACACAUGCAAGUCGAACGGCAGCACAGUAAGAGUUUGCUCUUACGGGUGGCGAGUGGCGGACGGGUGAGGAAUACAUCGGAAUCUACUUUUUCGUGGGGGAUAACGUAGGGAAACUUACGCUAAUACCGCAUACGACGUACGGGUGAAAGCAGGGGAUCUUCGGACCUUGCGCGAUUGAAUGAGCCGAUGUCGGAUUAGCUAGUUGGCGGGGUAAAGGCCCACCAAGGCGACGAUCCGUAGCUGGUCUGAGAGGAUGAUCAGCCACACUGGAACUGAGACACGGUCCAGACUCCUACGGGAGGCAGCAGUGGGGAAUAUUGGACAAUGGGCGCAAGCCUGAUCCAGCCAUACCGCGUGGGUGAAGAAGGCCUUCGGGUUGUAAAGCCCUUUUGUUGGGAAAGAAAAGCAGCAGGUUAAUACCCCGCUGUUCUGACGGUACCCAAAGAAUAAGCACCGGCUAACUUCGUG